rnacentral:rRNA from 1 species
UUGAUGGUAGUGUAUUGGACUACCAUGGCUAUCACGGGUAACGGAGAAUUAGGGUUCUAUUCCAGAGAGGGAGCCUGAGAAAUGGCUACCACAUCUAAGGAAGGCAGCAGGCGCGUAAAUUACCCAAUCCUGACUAAGGGAGGUAGUGACAAGAAAUAACUCACUUGGGAGCUUAAUGCUCAUCGAGAUGGUAAUGAGAACAAUUUAAAAGACUUAUCGAAAUCUAUUGGAGGGCAAGUCUGGUGCCAGCAGCCGCGGUAAUUCCCGCUCCAAUAGCGUAUAUUAAAGUUGUUGCAGUUAAAAAGCUCGUAGUUGAAUUUGUGAUAGGAUACAUGUAUGUACUAAACCAAAAGUAUAGCAUAACUACUGUCAUACUCUAGGGAAGCAAAUACCUCCUUAAGUGGUGAGUAUUGUGGAACUAGAAUUUUACUUUGAAAAAAUUAGAGUGUUCCAAGCAGGCUUAUGCUUGAAUACGUUAGCAUGGAAUAAUGGAAUAGGACUUGAUUCAUUUGUAUUGGUUUGUUUGAGUUAAGAAAUGAUUAAUAAGGACUGUUGGGGGCACUCAUAUUUAAUUGGCAGAGGUGAAAUUCUUGGAUUUAUUAAAGACCAACUAAUGCGAAAGCAUUUGACAAGGAUGUUUUCAUUAAUCAAGAACGAAAGUUAGGGGAUCAAAGACGAUUAGAUACCGUC